rnacentral:misc_RNA from 1 species
AGUCGUAACAAGGUUUCCGUAGGUGAACCUGCGGAAGGAUCAUUACCUUUCAGUACAGAAGCGUUGUGUUGGUUGAGUUGUGCCGGUUGAGUCUCGCUGACAAGUGGGAUUCCUGGUGGCAACUCCCUUCAUAAUUCUCCCUGUCUAUCAUCCUUGUCUUUUGCGUACUAUUGUUUCCUCGGUGGGCUUGCCCACCGGUUGGACAACCUUAUAACCUAUUUAAUUUUCAAUCAGCGUCUGAAAUAAUAUAAUAAUUACAACUUUCAACAACGGAUCUCUUGGUUCUGGCAUCGAUGAAGAACGCAGCGAAAUGCGAUAAGUAGUGUGAAUUGCAGAAUUCAGUGAAUCAUCGAAUCUUUGAACGCACAUUGCGCCCCUUGGUAUUCCAUGGGGCAUGCCUGUUCGAGCGUCAUUUGUACCCUCAAGCUUUGCUUGGUGUUGGGUGUUUGUCUUUUCCACGCGAUCAGACUCGCCUUAAAAUAAUUGGCAGCCAGUGUUUUGGUUUUGAAGCGCAGCACAAGUCGCGAUUCAGCUUAUAUCACUAGUUUCCAUUAAGCAUUUUAUCACUUUUGACCUCGGAUCAGGUAGGGAUACCCGCUGAACUUAAGCAUAUCAAUAAGCGGAGGAA